rnacentral:rRNA from 1 species
UACGUAGGGUGCGAGCGUUUGUCCGGAAUUAUUGGGCGUAAAGAGCUUGUAGGCGGUUUGUCGCGUCUGCCGUGAAAGUCCGGGCUCAACUCCGGAUCUGCGGUGGGUACGGGCAGACUAGAGUGAUGUAGGGGAGACUGGAAUUCCUGGUGUAGCGGUGAAAUGCGCAGAUAUCAGGAGGAACACCGGUGGCGAAGGCGGGUCUCUGGGCCGAUACUGACGCUGAGGAGCGAAAGCGUGGGGAGCGAACAGG